CUACUAAGGGCAUACGGUGGAUGCCUAGGCGCCAAGAGCCGAAGAAGGACGCGGUAAGCUGCGAAAAGCCACGGGGAACUGCAAGCAAGUAUUGAUCCGUGGAUAUCCGAAUGGGGAAACCCGGCCAUCGUCAUGGAUGGUCACCCGCAAGGGAGGGAACCUGGGGAACUGAAACAUCUAAGUACCCGGAGGAAGAGAAAUCAAACGAGAUGCCCACAGUAGCGGCGAGCGAAGAGGGCAGAGCCCAAACCGAGAAGCUCCGGCUUUUCGGGGUUGAGGACCGGCAGAAUCGAAGUCAGGCCUAGUUGAAUUACCUGGAAAGGUAAGCGAGAGAGGGUAAAAGCCCCGUAGACGAAAGGCAGAGCAGAGAGGCCGAGAUCCAGAGUACCACGAAGCACGAGGAAUUUUGUGGGAAGCAGGGGGGACCACCCUCCAAGGCUAAAAACUACUUGGCGACCGAUAGCGCAUAGUACCGUGAGGGAAAGGUGAAAAGAACCCCGGGAGGGGAGUGAAAUAGUACCUGAAACCGUAUGUCUACAAGCAGUCGAAGCGAAAGCGACGGCGUGCCUAUUGAAGAAUGAACCAACGAGUUAUCUGCACUAGCGAGGUUAAGUGGAAGACACGGAGCCGCAGCGAAAGCGAGUCUUAAGAGGGCGCUAGUUAGUGUAGGUAGACCCGAAACCGCAGUGAUCUACCCAUGUCCAGGUUGAAGCGCAGGUAAAAUUGCGUGGAGGACCGAACCGGUGAGCGUUGAAAAGCUUUCGGAUGAGAUGUGGGUAGGGGUGAAAUUCCAAUCGAACGCGGAGAUAGCUGGUUCUCCCCGAAAUAGCUUUAGGGCUAGCCUGAGGUAGUAAGUAUAGGCGGUAGAGCACUGAUCGGGCUAGGGGCCGUAAAGGUUACCGAACCCUGUCAAACUCCGAAUGGAUAUACUGUAGAGCCUUGGAGUCAGACUACGAGUGAUAAGAUCCGUGGUCAAAAGGGAAACAGCCCAGACCACCAGCUAAGGUCCCCAAUGUCGUACUAAGUGGAAAAGGAUGUGGGGUUUCAUAAACAACCAGGAUGUUGGCUCAGAAGCAGCCACCAUUUAAAGAGUGCGUAAUAGCUCACUGGUCGAGAGACCCUGCGCCGAAGAUUCCCGGGGCUAAAGUACGAAACCGAAGCUGUGGCUGUAUACGUAAAGUAUACGGGGUAGGGGAGCGUUCCCAUAGGGUAGAAGUCGAACUGGAAGGUUCGGUGGACUUGUGGGAAGUGAGAAUGUUGGUAUGAGUAGCGAAAAGAAAGGUGAGAAUCCUUUCCACCGAAAGCAUAAGGAUUCCUGAGCAACGAUCGUCGUCUCAGGGUAAGUCGGGACCUAAUCCGAGGCAGAGAGCGUAGGAGAUGGACAACUGGUUGAUAUUCCAGUACCGGUAGUAAUUGUUUGAGCAAUGGAGUGACACAGAAGGGCAGGCAAGCAUGCGAAUGGAAGAGCAUGUGUAAGCGUGUAGGGUGGUGCAUAGGCAAAUCCGUGCACUGAAAGCCUGAGGCGUGAUGCGGAGUGAGCAGAGAUGCGAGCGAAGUUGUUGACCCCACACUGUCGAGAAAAGCUUCUAGUGAGAGAGCUACCGCCCGUACCGUAAACCGACACAGGUAUGCGGGGAGAGAAUCCUAAGGUGCGCGGGAGAACCCUCGUUAAGGAACUCGGCAAAAUGUACCCGUAACUUCGGGAUAAGGGUAGCCACUGUUGUGAAGUCCCAUGCGGAUGGAGCAUAGAGUGGUCGCAGAGAAGAGGCCCAAGCGACUGUUUACCAUAAACACAGGUGCCUGCUAAAGCGAAAGCUGACGUAUAGGUGCUGACACCUGCCCAGUGCCGGAAGGUUAAGGAAGGAUGUUCGGAUUAGUCCAAAGCAUUCGACUGAAGCCCCGGUGAACGGCGGCCGUAACUAUAACGGUCCUAAGGUAGCGAAAUUCCUUGUCGGGUAAGUUCCGACCCGCACGAAAGGUGUAACGAUUUGGGCACUGUCUCAACGAGGGACCCGGUGAAAUUGAAAUACCUGUGAAGAUGCAGGUUACCCGCGACUGGACAGAAAGACCCCAUGGAGCUUUACUGUAACCUGACAUUGGGUUUUGAUACAUUACGUACAGGAUAGGUGGGAGGCUUGGAAAGCUGGACGCUAGUCUGGCUGGAGCCGACGUUGGGAUACCACCCUUGAUGUAUUGAAAUUCUAACCGCGAGAGUAACGAAAUCCGGGACAGUGUCAGGCGGGCAGUUUGACUGGGGCGGUCGCCUCCGAAAGAGUAACGGAGGCG
rnacentral:rRNA from 1 species